UCUUUUAUGGGAAGGGAAGAGAAGAAUGGAAGUAAUAUGAAAACCUGAGAAACCUCAGGUUUCCAUUCCGCCACUGACAUGAUGAUAAUGAAUUUUCUAACAUAAAUUCAUUUUUUUCCACUACUUUCUACUGCACCCCAGGAAUGAAUUUAGUACUAAGGCUCUUUAACAGCUUUGGAAGCCACCUCUGGUGAAGUUUAAACUUGACAAACUUAGUAUCUGGAAGUCCAAAGCUUUGAAAGUUGAGGAAUGUCUAGCUCAGCAAUGGGUACCACCAGUGAAAUGAGCAGCUCCUCCCUGCUUUCGGGUGGCAUCUCUGAUUUCAGAGUCCUCACCCCAGGAAUCUGACAGCACCUGCUACAGUUGGAGUGAGAGCUGUCCAUGCUGCAACUUGUGCUCCUGUGCUGGGAAACAAGAGGCAGAGCAGCCCUGCCAGCUGGCACUGCUUUACAGCCUCAGAACCUGUUCCAAGAGUCACCAGAAAUGGAGAGCUUUGUGAGGACAGAUAUAUGUCUGUACAUAUGGGAACCUGUGACAUGUUAAGUUCAGUACUUAACUACCAGCUUGGUAUCCCACUGUGGUAUCUGCACUGCCACUUCCGAAAAAUUGCUCAUCAGAUUCCUAGAGACAUCCUGCUCGAGAUACCACAGACCUCAUUCAUUUCUCCCAAACCCAUCUCCUGGGCAGAGUUGCAAGUUUCUCAAGACUGAAAGAGCUUGACUCCUAAAGCCAAAGCUUUCCACUCCAGGGUUACCAUCUGGGUCCUGAUACUGGCUUGUUCUAGCCUUAAGCAGAGAGAGAUCUCUACUUCAUCCUUUCUCUUUGAAGUCUCAAAGACAUUAUGGAAUAUAACAUUUCAAAGCAUAAGUUUUGUUCUAAAUAUCCCCCUAUUUGUACACAGAUUCUCUCCUCUCUGCAUUAAACUUCCCCAGCAAAUUAACAUACCUGGUGCAAUGACUGGUUUGCAGCCAGUGGCAGAAAGCUGGGGACACUUCACAAAGGCACACUCCAUAUGGAAGCCAUAGUCCGAGAGCACCCCCACAGCCUGGCAGUGUCCGUGAUAAUCCACAGCCACGCGGUCGGAAUAGGCAGCACAGACGCUGCUGUAGGUUUCUCCAUUGUGUCCACACACAGGCUCCACUGACUUGCAAAAUGGCUGAAACACACAGGAAUGUUUCCAAGGUCAAUUCAGUCAUGCUACAGAAGUUUCAGAGUAGUUUUAACAUGAGGAAAACCAAAGCUAAAGGGAAUUCACUGCUAAUAUUGUCAAACAUUAAAAAAGUAGGAAGUUGAGAGUCAUAAAUGAAAAGGGUAAGUAUGUAAGGUACAGAGGAAGGUACAGAGAAAUGUAAGGUGGAAUCUGGGAAAUGUAGAAUAAAUCAUGUUUUGGAAAAGAACAACUUUUGUUCUGUGCUAACAUUUAAAUAAAAUUACCAUAUACAAAUUAACUUGUUUAUUA